rnacentral:rRNA from 1 species
GACGAACGCUGGCGGCGUGCUUAACACAUGCAAGUCGAGCGGUAAGGCCCUUUCGGGGGUACGACGAGCGGCGAACGGGUGAGUAACACGUGGGUGACCUGCCUCAGCUCUGGGAUAAGCCUGGGAAACCGGGUCUAAUACUGGAUAUGACUCCAUGACGCAUGUUGUGGGGUGGAAAGCCUUGUGCGGCUGAGGAUGGGCCCGCGGCCUAUCAGCUUGUUGGUGGGGUGAGGCCUACCAAGGCGACGACGGGUAGCCGGCCUGAGAGGGCGACCGGCCACACUGGGACUGAGACACGGGCCCAGACUCCUACGGGAGGCAGCAGUGGGGAAUCUUGCGCAAUGGGCGAAAGCCUGACGCAGCGACGCCGCGUGAGGGAUGACGGCCU